CAAGCGUUUCGAUUGAUCGAGAUGGGUACAGAAGGGAUAAUGGGCAGAUAUGUUUCUGGGGUUACAGGUGGAGUGGCACCCACUCUGACUUGGAGAAUGGCUGGAAAUGGAAAUCAGCAGCAAAAUCCAAAUUUGAUGGUAAAGUUGCAAUCUUUUUGUGGCUUUGGUGGUCCUCGAUUCGGGUUUACAAGGAACCUGGAAUGAAUUUGAUCUGAGUAGAUGAUGAGUUCCUUCUUCUUUUUCACUGUAAUUUUCUUUUUGUUGUUUUUGCCACCCAUGAUUAGCUGUCCUCUGCUGAUGUUUCUUCGCUUCCGUCUUUAAGCUCUGAAUCGUGCUUCCUCCUCUUGGAUUCUUAGAUUCUUCUCGAGGGAGGUGUCGAGUUCCGGUGACAGAGUGGUGACUGUUAGCAAGCUCGUGUUAUCUUGAGGAGAAAGAUGAGAUCUUUAAGCGGUAUGGGGAUCGGCUUAAGCGUCGUCUCAGGUUGCCUGUUCUUGGCUCUUGUUGCAGAGCUGUGCUACUUGUUCUGGUGGAGGAAGAUAAGCGAUGGAGACAUGGAGGACAGCUGCAGGGCUUGUUUGCCUGCCAAAGGACUUGUUCACCUCUUCUGCUGGAAGAAGCCACAUUCCUUGAGCUUCGCAGCACCCGACCGAGUGGAUGUAACUUCUUGUUCCGAUGAGGGACAACCGGAAGGCAAAGACCUCCUUCUGAAUCCACUCCGUAGGGAGGAUACCGUGGAGGCGGAGCUGAUGAGGUUUCAUGGUCUCCCAGGGCCUCCCAGACUUCUCUUCACCAUUAAGGAGGAAUCGAAGGAGGAUUUGGAGUCCGAGGAUAGCAUGUCCAGAGGUGGGAGGAGCAGGAAAGGUUCCCGGAGGAAGAGCUUGAAUGAUCUGUUCCUGUCUUCGGACACCCCGUUCAUGACACCGCUCCCUUCUCCUCCUCUUUUCUCUCCGGCACCGACUCCCUUCGAUUGCUACAAGCAAAGUGGAUUCAACCCCCUCUUCGAGUCCUCCAAGGAAGAAGAUUUGAUCAGGAUGUGGUCGUCGCCACCUCCCAAGUUCAAGUUUCUCAAGGACGCCGAGGAGAAAUUACACAAGAAGAAGCUGAUGGGAGAAGAGACUGGUCAUCUUUCUCAUCCUCCUCCUCCUCCUCCUCCUCCUGCUAUUUCACGUCCCACAGUCCCAGAAGAGGAAGAUGGAUCUUUCAUCACUAUAGUCAUAGGAAAGAACAGAGACAGAGGUCAGCAACACCAUCCUUGCUCCUCACAGGUGACUCCAGUACCUUCCUCUCCUUCAAGCAUCAAACUGCUACAUGGGAAUCACAGUCACUAAUUCCUCAUCGACAAAACUCGCAUUAUGGCAGUGAAUUUAGUAGCCACAUCAAUUCUUUCGUGAUGUACUCUCUCUCUCUCUCUCCACUUUCACUCAAAAUCAUUAUCUUUUGCUGGAGCGAGUGGAAGUCAUCAGACACCUCUUUUUCCGGCUUCCAUGUGAUGGAUGGUGAUGUGUAGAGUUGGCGUGCAGCGCUAUGCCUUCCCUAUCCUUUCAUCUGCUUCGAGGAAACAGAGUGCUUUCCCCUCCA